CUGCACCGACCUCAGAUCAGGCGAGAUNACCCGCUG
rnacentral:rRNA from 1 species